GCAGAGGAGCCAGCAGGCAAGCACUGGAGCUGCAGUUUGAACAUUGGAUUGGCAGAGAAUUCUAAGGGUUCCCUCUGCUGUACUUCAACGUUUGUCUGCAAGACCAGACUUCAUUGUUGUAGACCAGCCUUUCAUUUUGUUCUCUCAGGCUGCACUCUCCCAAGGUGUGGUGGGCUCUCAUUGCCCAAAGUGUUAAUUGAUUGUGUUACCUGGGGCUUUGAGACAGGAUCCUACUGCUUCCUUGCCACCUUCCAGUGCCCCCAGCUACAGGAUCAGAGGGGUAUGUAUAUGGGAUAUCACUCUUAAGACUUUCAACAGAAAAAAAAAAACUGUCUCAGAAGAUGAGAAUCCGUUUCUGAUGUGAAAUAUCUUUUUUUUUCUUUUUUUUUUACUUUUUUUUUUUUCCUGCUGGAAUUACUUCUGACUUAUGAAUGAAAAUGAGAGGUUUUAUGGUGUUGCUGUUUAAUGUACUUAAAUUCUGAUAUGACAGACUAUACUAUCACUACAGGAAGUAAAUUAAAUCCUCAUCAAAGUGUUAUGCAGAGCCUCUGGGCUGGGCUAUGUAGGACAUAGUGCAUAAACUGUAUCGCUUGGCCCAAGGCACUAUAAAUCAUCUACACUUCUGGCUGCAAUUUCCUCUCUAUUUCCCUAGCUCCAAUGUGCAAAUACAGAGGAUGAACACAAAGUUGGUGGUUUAUGCAGCACUGGCCUCCAGACCCAAACCAGCAUCUGAUCUACUUAGGAGUCACAAGGAAUUUCACAAAUGAAUUUGGAGCUCAUUGCAGUGGCUGUCCAGUUUCUGAGUGCUGAAGGUGUAUUCAAAUCUGAUUUUCAAUGCCUAGAAAUGUAUUGAAAGUGGAAGCUGUAGUUGUCUAAAAUUCACUUGCAGGUAUCCAGGGAGAAAGUUUACUGGAUUUCAGUGGAGAGGUGGCUGCAGGUGACACAGGUCAGGACACAACACAGGGCACACAAAGCACCAUCCAAACAUUUGCUCAAGGCCUGGGGAUGGGGACACAGCAAUUGCUGCUUGUGAAUCUCUGCACUGGGAUAUUUGCAUAGAAUUCUAAAUUAUUUAUACAUUUCUUCCAAGUUGCAGUGUAAGUACAUAUGUUAAAUUAUGUCUAGCACCAUAUAUACAGAUAUUGGGGAUGUGUUGGUGCCUGUAAAUUCAUAGGGUCACAUAUUGAUCUUUGACUUAAUUAUAUAGUGUUUUAUUGAGUAAAUGCCACAGGCAGAAGUUAAGGGAAUAAACUGCUAUCUUUAUUAAGAGUGUCUUGAUGU
rnacentral:lncRNA from 1 species